CCAGGCUGGGCUGAGAGCCGUGGCACUGGGGGCCGUGACUUUGUCAGGAGGCCCUGACAGGACACACAGCUCGGCCACUGCUGUGUGUCUUUUAGACGUGGACACUGGGUGUUUGGAGGUUGGUUUUUAUUGGGACCCAGUGGGGCUGCAUCUGCCCUGCAGCAAAGCCACCAUCCCUGGGCCCUUGGCUCUCUGCUGUGCGCGGUCAGGCCCCG
rnacentral:lncRNA from 10 species